rnacentral:rRNA from 1 species
GACGAACGCUGGCGGCGUGCUUAACACAUGCAAGUCGAACGGAAAGGCCCUGCUUUUGUGGGGUGCUCGAGUGGCGAACGGGUGAGUAACACGUGAGUAACCUGCCCUUGACUUUGGGAUAACUUCAGGAAACUGGGGCUAAUACCGGAUAGGAGCUCCUGCUGCAUGGUGGGGGUUGGAAAGUUUCGGCGGGUGUGGAUGGACUCGCGGCUUAUCAGCUUGUUGGUGGGGUAGUGGCUUACCAAGGCUUUGACGGGUAGCCGGCCUGAGAGGGUGACCGGCCACAUUGGGACUGAGAUACGGCCCAGACUCCUACGGGAGGCAACAGUGGGGAAUAUUGCACAAUGGGCGGAAGCCUGAUGCAGCAACGCCGCGUGCGGGAUGACGGCCUUCGGGUUGUAAACCGAUUUCGCCUGUGACGAAGCGUGAGUGACGGUAAUGGGUAAAGAAGCACCGGCUAACUACGU